rnacentral:lncRNA from 1 species
GCGGCCGUGAUGCGAUGCCACAAGAUACUCCCAUUAUGAAAUGUUCUGCUGUACGUACGUACCCUGCAGAUGUACUAUACAUGAGUCGACGGCGAAUGAUCGCGCCAUAUGUUCUGAACUCUCCCAUUAUGUAGUGUUGUGUAAACCAGUGUGUGAUGAGGGAGACAUACGUACUCCCUCCAUGAAUAAUCGUUGGAUUUGUGACUAUGAUCAACAGAUUAUCUCAACGGCAGUUUUACUUCUACAUUGUUUAACGAGAUGCAGCACAGAGUCACUGUGUAGGAUAACAAUCAUGUGGUACGCACCGGUAGAAAAAGAGGCUUCCGUCCAGCCCCAUUAGUCGCGAAACUGUAGGAACCGCGACUAAUGAAGUCUUUAGUCGCGGUUCGGCAGACGAACCGCGAUCAAAGGCCUGGGCCCAGGGCGCUCGGUGGCCAGCUGGUGCACGUGAGGGGCUUUAGUCGCGGUUGGCCAGGCCAACCGCGACUAAAGGUGCCCAAAGGCCUUUAGUCGCGGUUGGCCAGGCCAACCGCGACUAAAACUCCUCCCCUAUAUAUACCAGUUCAGCACGCUCACUUAGCCAUUUGGUGCCACUUCUCUUCACAAGCUUCACAAGGGGGUGUAGGUUUGCUUUUGGUUCCUCUUAUGCACACAAGGUGUUUGAUGAAAUGCCCCAAGAGGGUGAAACAAACAUGAUAUGAAGUGUUGGAGCUACACUUGAGGUUCCUCAUUUAUUUUUUCCUCCUCGAUCGCGGUUAGCAACUUGAACCUUUCAUGCAUGUGUGUCAUUGAUAAAAUAUGCAUGUGUGUUGUUCAUUGUUUAAUUUCUAUUGUUUAUAGCUAGUUAGUUUAACAAAUGCAUGAUGGUUAAUUAUAUAUUUUAUAUUAUAAUAAUGCAGAUGAAUCGGCAAUGGAUGUACGGUAACCGACUCUCCCGCGAGUUCACUACGGGUUUGAAAGAUUUCCUCGUAGUGGCUAAUGCGAACAAGCAGAAGGGUUUUGUUAUCUGUCCAUGUGUUGAAUGUAAGAAUCAGAAGGGUUACUCUUCCUCAAGAGAAGUUCACCUGCACCUGCUUCGGCACGGUUUCAUGCCAAGCUAUAAUUGUUGGACCAAGCAUGGAGAAAGAGGGGUUAUAAUGGAAGAAGAUGAAGAAGGGGAUGAUUUCAUCGAUGAAAGCUAUCUUGCUCAUUUCGGUGAUACUUUCAUGGAGGAUGCUAAAGGUGAAGGGGAAGGUGAAGGUGAAGAAGAGGCACGUGAUGAGACCGUUGAUGAUCUUGGUCGGACCAUUGCUGAUGCACGGAGACGCUGCGAAACUGAAAAGGAGAGGAAGAAUUUGGAUCGCAUGUUAGAGGAUCACAGAAAGUCGUUGUACCCCGGAUGCGAUGAUGGUCUGAAAAAGCUGGGCUGCACACUGGAUUUGCUGAAAUGGAAGGCACAGGCAGGUGUAGCUGACUCGGCAUUUGAAAACUUGCUGAAAAUGUUGAAGAAUAUGUUUCCAAAGAAUAACGAGUUGCCCACCAGUACGUACGAAGCAAAGAAGGUUGUCUGCCCUCUAGGUUUAGAGGUUCUGAAGAUACAUACAUGCAUCAACGACUGCAUCCUCUACCGCGGUGAAUACGAGAAUUUGAAUGAAUGCCUGGUAUGCACUGCAUUGCGUUAUAAGAUCAGAGGCGAUGACCCUGGUGACGAUGUUGAGGGCGAGAAACCCAGGAAGAGGGUUCCCGCCAAGGUUAUGUGGUAUGCUCCUAUAAUACCACGGUUGAAACGUCUGUUCAGGAACAAAGAGCAUGCCAAGUUGUUGCGAUGGCACAAAGAGGACCGUAAGUCGGACGGGGAGUUGAGACACACCGCAGAUGGAACGCAAUGGAGAAAGAUCGACAGAGAGUUCAAAGAUUUUGCAGCUGACACAAGGAACAUAAGAUUUGGUCUAAGUACAGAUGGCAUGAAUCCUUUUGGCGAGCAGAGCUCCAGCCAUAGCACCUGGCCCGUGACUCUAUGCAUCUACAACCUUCCUCCUUGGUUGUGCAUGAAGCGGAAGUUCAUUAUGAUGCCAGUGCUCAUCCAAGGUCCGAAGCAACCCGGCAACGACAUCGAUGUGUACCUAAGGGCAUUAGUUGAUGAACUUUUACAGCUGUGGGGCAGACCUGGUGUCCGUGUGUGGGAUGAGCACAAAAAAGAGGAAUUUAACCUACGAGCGUUGCUUUUCGUAACCAUCAACGAUUGGCCUGCUCUUAGUAACCUUUCGGGACUGUCAAAUAAGGGAUACAAUGCAUGCACGCACUGCUUACAUGAGACUGAAAGUGUACAUUUGCCAAAUUGUAAGAAGAACGUGUACCUUGGGCAUCGUCGAUUUCUUCCGAAAAUUCAUCCAGUAAGAAAGAAAGGCAAGCAUUACAAUGGCAAGGCAGAUCACCGGCCGAAGCCUGCGGAACGCACUGGUGCUGAGGUAUUUGAUAUGGUCAAGGAUUUGAAAGUCAUCUUUGGAAAGGGUCCUGGCGGACAAUCAGUUCCGAAGGGAGCUGACGGGCACGCAGCCAUGUGGAAGAAGAAAUCUAUAUUCUGGGAGCUAGAAUAUUGGAAAGUCCUAGAUGUCCGCUCUGCAAUCGACGUGAUGCACAUUACGAAGAAUAUUUGCGUGAACCUCCUAAGCUUCUUGGGCGUGUAUGGGAAGACAAAUGAUACAAAGGAAGCACGGCAGGACCAGCAACGUUUGAAAGACCCUGAUGACCGGCAUCCGGAAUGGUUUCAAGGUCGUGCCAGCUACGCUCUGACCAAAGAAGAGAAGGUCAUCUUUUUUGAAUGCCUGAGCAGUAUGAAGGUCCCGUCUGGAUUCUCGUCCAAUAUAAAGGGAAUAAUAAACAUGGCGGAGAAAAAGUUCCAAAAUCUGAAGUCUCACGACUGCCACGUGAUUAUGACGCAAUUGCUUCCGAUUGCUUUGAGGGGGCUCCUGCCGGAAAAUGUUCGAGUAGCCAUUGUGAAGCUAUGUGCAUUCCUCAAUGCAAUCUCUCAGAAGGUAAUCAAUCCAGAAGAUCUACCACGGUUACAGAACGAUGUGAUCCAAUGUCUUGUCAGUUUCGAGUUGGUGUUCCCGCCAUCCUUCUUCAAUAUUAUGACGCACCUCUUGGUUCACCUAGUCGAAGAGAUUUUCAUUAUCGGUCCUGUAUUUCUACACAAUAUGUUCCCCUUCGAGAGGUUCAUGGGAGUAUUAAAGAAAUAUGUUCGUAACCGUGCUAGGCCAGAAGGAAGCAUCGCCAAGGGCUAUGGAAAUGAGGAGGUAAUUGAGUUUUGUGUUGACUUUGUUCCUGACCUUAAGCCGAUUGGUCUUCCUCGAUCGCGGCAUGAGGGGAGACUAAGUGGAAAAGGCACGAUCGGAAGGAAAUCAACGAUAUGUAUGGACGGCCAUUCUCUGACUGAAGCACACCACACUGUACUGACCAAUUCCAGCUUGGUGGCUCCGUACUUUGAGAAACACAAGAAUAUUUUACGCUCGGACAACCCGGGGAAGCCUGAAUCCUGGAUUAGGAAGGCCCACAUGGAGACUUUCGGCAGUUGGUUGAGAAAACAUUUAAUGAAUGACAAUGAUGUUGUAGAUCAGCUGUACAUGUUGGCCAAGACACCAUCUUCGACUAUAACGACUUUCCAAGGGUACGAGAUAAAUGGGAAUACAUUUUACAUGAUCGCCCAAGAUAAAAAGAGCACCAACCAAAACAGUGAUGUCCGCUUUGAUGCAGCAACCAAGAAUGGGCAAAAGGUCACAUAUUAUGGUUACAUAGAGGAGAUAUGGGAACUUGACUAUGGACCCUCCUUUAAGGUCCCUUUGUUCCGGUGCAAAUGGUUCAAGCUAACAGGAGGUGGGGUAAAGGUGGACCAGCAAUACGGAAUGACAAUGGUGGAUUUCAACAAUCUUGGUUACCUUGACGAACCAUUCGUCCUAGUGAAAGAUGUCACUCAGGUUUUCUAUGUGAAGGACAUGAGUAGCAAACCGAGGAAACGGAAAGAUAAGAAAACGAUCAGUACAUCAUGCGAUGAUCCAAAGCGCCACAUUGUUCUUUCAGGGAAAAGAAACAUCGUGGGAGUGGAGGACAAGACAGACAUGUCAGAAGAUUAUAAUAUGUUUGCUGAAAUUCCGCCCUUCAAAGUGAACACCGACCCAAGCAUUAAGUUAAAUGAUGAGGAUGCUUCAUGGAUACGGCACAAUCGUAAGCAAGCAGGGACACAAGGGAAGAAAUGAUGUGUAAUAAUUUAUUGUACCAAACUUUGUUGAAUGGAUCAUGUUAAUUAUAUUACCCGUGAUGUGUUUGGUGUCCAUUUUCGAAUGAUUCGAGAUACCACUGAUGAUACAUGAAAUUUGGAGUGAUUUAGUCAUACUCCUACUUAGGCGUAUAAUAUGCAUACUCGUAGUCUUCAUAGCCGCCGCCGUUGUACUGGUAGUCGUCGCCUUCUAAGUUGCCGCCGUCGUCGUCGCUGCUGUCGUCGCUCUCGUCGGGCGGCGCUCGUGGCUCGAACUGAGGGUAGCGCAGGCGGGGGAUAUCGCCGGCCGUGAUGUAGUCCAUGACGCUCUGCAGAGUCCGGCCGUACCACCAUAGCCGACGGCCGGCCUCUGGUAUAUUAUUUUGAAUUGAAUUAGUUUUAUUUUUCUUAAUUUUUUGAUAUAUUAUUUGUAUUUUUAGAAUUUUGAAUUGAAUUAGUUUUAUUUUUCUGAAUUUUUUGAUAUAUUGUUUGUAUUUUUAACAUUUUGAAUUGAAUUAGUUUUACUUUUCUUAAUUUUUUGAUAUAUUAUUUGUAUUUUUAGAAUUUUGAAUUGAAUUAGUUUUAUUUUUCUGAAUUUUUUGAUAUAAUAUUUGUGUUUUUAACAUAUUGAAUUGAAUUAGUUUUAUUUUUCUGAAUUUUUUGAUAUAUUAUUUGUAUUUUUAAGAUUUUGAAAAAAAAAGUAUUUUGAAAAAUACCUUUAGUUGCGGUUGGCCUGCCCAACCGCGACUAAAGGUCGUUGCACGCGGGAACNNNNNNNNNNNNNNNNNNNNNNNNNNNNNNNNNNNNNNNNNNNNNNNNNNNNNNNNNNNNNNNNNNNNNNNNNNNNNNNNNNNNNNNNNNNNNNNNNNNNNNNNNNNNNNNNNNNNNNNNNNNNNNNNNNNNNNNNNNNNNNNNNNNNNNNNNNNNNNNNNNNNNNNNNNNNNNNNNNNNNNNNNNNNNNNNNNNNNCCUCUCGCCCGCCCUCAACGCCGCCGGCCGGCCUCGCUGCCGCGCGCGCACGUGCGCGCCUCUCUACAGAGAGCGAGAUCGUGGAGAGAGAGAGAAUUUUUUCUUUUUUUUUUCUUUUUUUGUUCUUUUUAAUUUUAACUAGUUAAUUAGUUUAACAAAAACGGUAAAAUAACUUAAAACUUGAUAAUUAACAAAAAAACCGUAAAAUUUGAUAAUUAACAAAAAAAACGUAUAUACGGAGAGGGGGCGGCGAGGGGGGCGGCGAUGCGCGCGGUGUUUUUUUAGGGAUCGAGAGGGGGCGGCGAGGGUUAUACAUGUGUGUUGUCCUCGCCUCCCUCUCCGUGACGCCGUCGUCUGCCGCCCUGUCUCGCGCUCUACCGCGACACCCUCUCCCACCCCUUCCUCGCCCCCUCCUUUUGCCACCGCCCUUUCGCCACCGCCACCGCCACCGCCCCCCUUCUUCACUUAAUUAAUUUGUUUUUACUACAUGUUUUCAGGACUGACAUAAUGGCGGACGAUAGAGCUGACCCGAUUAUGGACAACUAUGAUCCGGACGGUGAAGCACAUAUGUUCGGCAUCAUAAACGGCGAUAUUCUAUAUGUGCCGACCGGACAAGAAGAAGAUGAUAUCUCUUCUUAUCUGAACCUUGACGGUGAAGAUGAAGGGCGCCGUCAGCAAGAUGAUGCCGAACAAACGUCGAUAAACGACGAUCUUCAAAUGGAAGUAGCAACCACCUCCGGCGCCGAGGUAUAUAUAUACAUUGAGCCUCUGGUGAUACAAACUAACAGAUUUGAAUAAAUAUGAGUGUACUAACGCGCGCGACUCUCUUUCUUAUUUUAGCCCUCGGCCGGAUCAUCGAAACAAUCGAGUACGUCGUCAAAGCGUGGCGCAACCAAGACGAUGAAACAAGGAGAAACAUGCACCAUCGAGGUUGUCGACAGUGCAACCGGCAGGCCGCUGGAGCCCCGCAAGAAUGCCACCAAGUUUGUCAACCAAUGCGGAGCCAUUGUUAGAGACAAUGUCUCGAUCACCGUCCAGGAGUGGAAUAAGCCAAAGAAGGCACGAAUUGCUGGUUUCACUUUUGUCGAUAAGAGAACAAAAAAAAGAUUGCUUCAAGAAGCUUAUGGAACAUUUCGUUCUACCUCCGGAAUACAAAAAAUUCGAUGAGGAGGGUAACAAGAUUGAGGAAAAUAAGGAGAGGAGGAGGCUAGUCAAACAGUUCGCUCUUCAUAAGAUGGCCGACGCAUUCCGGAAAUUCAAGCAAAAUCUAGCCCAUGACUUUGUCAAGCAGAACAAGACUCCGGAUUUCAAAGGACAAUAUGAGAAACUGAAACAUGAUUGGCCAGAAUUUGUGAAGCAAAAGAAAUCGGAGCAGUUCAUUCAAAUAUCGAAAAAAAUAAGGAAAAUGCGGCUAAGAAGGAGUACAAUCAUAUUAUGGGGCCAGGAGGGUAUCGCCUUUGGGAGCCUAGGUGGGAGAAGAUGGAGAACGAGCUGAGGGCGCGAGGAAUCCGUCCAGGUACGGAGGGAUGGGACCCAAGGGCCAAAAGCUGGUGGUACGGGCAUGGGGGAACGCUGAACCCGGAGACAGGGGAGUGUGUUUACCGGGGCAAAAUAAUUAAACCCACCCAAGCCCUUAUUGACGCAAUGAGGGAUGCUCAAGAGGGGAAGAUCAAGUUCAACAGAGAGAACGACGCGCUGACAAAAGCCCUCGGGAAUCCUGAACACGGAGGACGUGUACGAGGCAUGGGGAACAUUCCGUGGAAAAUAGGGUUCCCCCAGAACGAUGACCCAUACGGUUACAGAAGCCGGAAGAGAAAGAUGGAUCGGGAAGCAGAUGUUGUGGCGCGGUUGGCAUCGGAAAUGGAUGUGAUGAAGAAAACCGUGAGUGUACUAGUAGCCGAAAGAGAUGCAACUCGGGCGCAGCAUGAAGAUCAUCCAGCGGAUCUCAGAAGCCAGCAGCGGAGAAGCAGUGUGGCUUCCACGGAGGCCCCAUCGACUGGUGCAGAUGCACCGACGAUCGAAAUUACUGCACCGGAGCCUCUGGUGGUCGAAAUUACUGCACCGGAGCCUCUGGUGGUCGAAAUUACUGCACCGGAGCCUCCUCGCUACCCCGUGGACGAUAUAAAGGAGAUGAAAGAAUAUCAUCUGUAUUAUCCUAUCGGGAACAUGUCCAUGAAGGUAGCCAUCGGCAGUGCUUUACCAUGUUUACCUGGAGCACUCCACCACAACAACCCCAUUCAAGAUGGCUAUGCUCGUGUCACGGUGGAGGACAUAGUCCAAGGGUUUGAGGACCUGGAGAUUGACAUUGCUACACCUGAAGGGGAGAAAAGACUUGGAGAUGUCAAGCGCCAUUUCAUUCUAUGGCAAAAGAAGUUUAUCAAGUUUCCAGGCGAGGCGCCAAGGACAACAAGUCCACCCCCCUACGGUGGUGGUGGUGGUGGCGGUUCACCUACACCUCUGUCACGUCAGCCGAUGCCCCCCAGUCCACAACGUCCGGCGGGUGAUCAGACACCGCCCCCCAGUCCUCGUCCGGCGGGUGAUCAGACGCCGCCCCCCAAUCCACCUCCGGCAAAGAAGCGGAAGCAGUCCUGGAUUAUUAACCCGGACCCUUAUGUACCUAAGACCACAAAGGUACCGGAGCCAUCACUGAAGCCUCUCCCCACAAGGCCUUGGGAACGUAGUGCCGAGGAAACUGCCGCGGCCGCGGCUGCUGAUCAUGAGAAAUGGAAGGCGGACUGCAAGAAGAAAAGAGAGCCCAAGCCCAAGCCAGUAUUUUCUGAUGAGCAAAAGAAGCGGGCUAAGUCAUUUUUGAGCACACCGUCCCAAGCCGCGAAGAAUCUGCCUGACGACUAUGCACGUGAACUUCGUAGGCAAGCACUCAUGUUGAAGGAGAAGAAAGAGCGGGCGGAGAACCAGGAGAACAAAGCCUUGGAGGAGGCCGAGAAAACGGAAUUAGAAAGUAAAAAAAGCGGGAAACGAGUUUCCCAGCUCGGGGAACAAAGUAAACAAUCGAUUGCCCCGCUUAUAGUGAAAGCCGCCGGUCCGGAUGACCCCGAUAUCAUAGCAGCUGCGGCAGCACAUGGAUUGACUGUAACGAGUGCCAGAGAACAAGCGGCCAACUUAGGUAUUACUCUUCGUGAACUGUUAGGCCUUGAUGAGGCGCCAGUGAAGGAGGUAGUAAUUACAUAUGUGAAGAAUGGGCCUCUCGUCGAGCCUGCGCAGGAAGAGGAUCUACCUCCAUAAAUGAAAGGUCUGCUGAAAUGGUACAAGGGUUACAUAAAAAAUAAAAACGCCAAAGAAUAUAUUUAUGCGGAAGUUAGAUAUGAGCAUCACUUCAAACAUUACUAUGUACAAAUUCAUCUAAGUGAAUUGUUCCAGCUUUUCAAUCUGCGCGAGCUCGACAAAUCUAUCAUCAGUUGCUACGUUCUGUAAGUGAUUUAUUUCUACCCCAUCUCGUUCAUAUUGCCUGCACUAUAUAUAUGUCCUAACUAUAUUGUUGUGUCCGCUAUUAUACAUGCAGAAUGAAGAUUAAGGAAUGCAGAGUAAGGAACAUCCAUGAUGUUGGGUUCAUUGACCCACACAUCGUUAAUGGAUAUGUGUUGGAGCAUCACCCCGCCGACAUGGAGGCAGACCUGUGGCAGUUUCUUACAAAGCAGGAACUCAAAAGUGAUAUUCUAUUUCCUUACCAUUUUGGGUGAGUGUUUCUGUCUUGAGCACAUUCACUUUUGUUUACUCCAUGCAUGGUAUGUGGCCGGCUAAUCGAUGAGUUAUGCAUGACGUACUGUGCAUGUAUCGUGUCCGCAGGUUCCACUGGAUUCUGCUAGUAAUUAAAGUUGACACCUCAGAAUGUCUCGUCCACGACUCUCUGAAUAAGGAUCCAAAGCUUUGGGGCGGCAUGAGAAGAAUGCUGCAGAAGUAAUUAUUUUCAUUCAUUUGCGCUCUAUAUCGAUCGGCCUAUUUCGUUCAUUUCCUAAUAUCAAGUAACUAAUAACUCUCUUGUUCAUUUAAUUUUCUUUGCCUCGUAGGGUUUGGAGACGGUUCGUAGAUACAAAGGUCGGUGAAUUCAAAAAAGAGCUAGAAUUCAAAAGGUCAAAGGCUAAGAAUGGUGAGGAUAUUCAGCCAGCGGGGACCAAUCUAUGUGCAUACUAUGUCUGUGAGAUGAUCCGGAGAUACACCUCUGAGCGGCGGGUUCCGAGUGAUACCAAUGCUCAGAGGAAUAACCUCCGGAUGAUGCUUAGUCCAGAAGCUCGCUUCCGACCACUUCAAGAGGAACUAGCUGGAUGGUUCAGGAGGGAAGUCCUCCAUCCUAAAGGAGAACACCAUUACGAGGACGUAGAACUUUAUAUGCAUUAAAUUAUGUAUGGAAACUUGUUCAAAAUUGUAUAUGGUCAUCCGAUGAUAUUGAAUAUAUAUUGUAUAUUCCUCUUGAAUUCUUUUUGGUUCUAAUUUCAAAUUUGUUUGAAAUUGUACAUUCAUAUGCAUGUAUGUAGUACCGUAGAAUAUGUGAAACUCCUUCAAAAUUAAAAUAAAGCACAAAAGAAAUAAAACAAUACAAAUUAAACAGAAAACAGGUUUAGGGGGGGGCUAAAACCCUAAACCUACGGCGGCCUUUAGUCGCGGUCGGCCAGAAGAACCGCGACUAAAGGUCCUCCGCCCCGACGGCCGCCUGGCGCCCACGUGGACGGGCCUUUAGUCGCGGUUCUUAAGCAACCGCGACUAAGGGGGGGGGGCCUUUAGUCGCGCCUGUUUGGUCGCGGUUGCGCAACCGCGACUAAUGGCAGUUGCGAACCGCGACCAAAGGCCCUUUUUCCACCAGUGACGGCUAAGGGUGUGUUUGGUGCAUGUAUGAACCUAGCCUAGUUGUUCUUCUCUCAUGCAUGCUGAGAGUAGACAUGCCGAGUUCAUGCGUUUGAUGUUGUUCGGCAGCGGUGUAUGCGCUGAGGAGACAUGCUAAGCUGAGACUUUGUUUGGCAGUCUGCAUGUGUUUAGACAUGCUGAACAAUUUUGGAUUUUGAAUUUUUUAGAACGGUGAACAAAAUUUUAAAAAUGUAAACAAAAAUUUAAAUCUAUUUUGAAAUUCUGAACUUUUAUUAAAAAUUUAAACAAAAUUUAAAAUUCUACACACUUUUUGAAAUGUUGAACAUUUUUUUUUGAAAAUUUAGACAUAUUUUGCUGAACAUUUUUGAAAAUAUAAUCAAAAUUUGAAAUUCUGAAUAUUAUCUAAACAUUUAACAAAAUCUAAAAUUUUGCAUGUUUUUUGAAAAUUUUAAAAAAAUGAAAUUCUAAUUUUCUUUAGAAAAUUUAACAAAAUUUUAAAUUCUAAACAUUUUUUGAUUUUUUUAAAUUUGAAAUUCUGAAUAUUUUUUGAAAAUUUAAACAAUUUCGAAAUUCCAUCCGUUUUUGAAUUUUUUUUAAACAAAGUUUGAACUUUUUUUAAUAAUUAUACAAAUUUUAAAAUUCUGAAUAUUUUUUGAAAAUUUAGACAAAAUUUGAACAUAUCUGGACGUGGUGUGGUAGGUGGUGACGAGGGUCAGGGCCAGCAUGACUGUCUCCAUGCACCCUCUUUGGGUGCAUGCGAUGGACAUGACUGAAGGCCCUUUUUUGCAUGAGAUGAGCAUAGUCCAAGUGAGUCCAUGCAUCCUACCAAAGCAAACACUGGUACGCGUCGUUACUAUACAAACGUUUUUUAAUCCUUUCUGCGACAGGAUUUGAAACCGUCGCCAAGUGAGUGUGGGCGAUAUGGGGUCCUUCCCACACGACACUAAAACCGUUGGGAAUAGUCCCUCCUUGCACAUAGGCUGUGGCAAAAUUAGCUUGUGUGUGAUCGGACGAGGCAUCAAAACCAAAUUAUUUUCGCUCUUAUGUACAUCGCACGCAGUCAAUCCAAGGAGUACGUUUUCGUUCUUAUGUACGUCCCACACAGUCAAUCCAGGGAAAACCUUUCCGUUCGUAUGUGCUUCCCACACAGUCAAUCCAGGGAAAACGUUUUCAUUCAUAUGUACAUCUCACACAGUCAAUCCAGAAAAAACGUUUCCGUUCGUAUGUACAUCCCACAUAGAUUUUUGUAUAGGCUCAUGUGUGAUAUGUGUAACUAUCACACACGCUCUGUCUUGGUUAACCGUUUGCUUUUAUUAAUUAUAUCACACACGAUUUGAUGAAGAAAACUAUGUGGGCUAUCCAUCACAAGCGCUUUUACUUCUAGAAUUGUUUGCAAAGUUCCAUGAUCCAUUUAGCAGGUUUAUUAGUUUAUAAUUAAUAAUUCCAGUAUUACAUAAAUUCACAUUUCAUAUCGAACAGCCGUUUGUCAAUUUCAUAUCAGGCACAUAGAUAUAUUUUAACAUCACAAUACGAUAGCUAUCGGAAAACAGCACAGUACAACAUAUAAAUAGUUCAACUUCAUAAGAACAAUAUUAGAACAAUAUAUCUAUUUCCCUAAUCAAGAUCAUCCAGGCUCGCCUUAUCCACCUCUGCUUUCAGUUCAGUAAGAACCCGUUUUGCACUGGUCAGCUGGGAAAGUGCCUCCUCCUUCGCCAACACCAUCUUAGCAAAGUAUUAUUUAAAAACUCUGAGCUCAUUCUCCACCUUCCUCUUUUUAUCCCGCAUCUUUAAAUAUUUUUCAGCGUUGACAACACUUUCUCUAAGCCUACAUCUGUUCUCUUCCUGAUACAUGCUCCACAACUUUGCUAGGCACAUCUUCAAAGACUGUUGCCACUCUUCAUCAAUCCACUCCAAGUAAGAACACUUCCAUUCAUCCUAUAAUAUUUAAAACUAGAUCUGUAACAAUUGUAGGGAAAAUGGGUUUAUGCAACAUAGAAAAAUCAUCAAUACUUAUUUUGAAAAACUGAAGAAACAUGUUAAUUAUGACAUAUCUUCUCAAAAAGAUCAAUGUGCAAAUGAAUUAAUUGCUACUGAGACAACAACCAAAUUCUGAAACAUCAGAAACUAUAACAAUGCUACAAGUUCUUACUCAUGUACUAUAAAUACCAAAUUGAACAUUUUAAGAGGAAGGUAAAUAUAACUACGACAACAUAGCGAUAGUGUUUGGAUGACAACAAAUUGAUACUAACAGGUGUAUACAUGCACAAAUUUAGUAACAUAACUAAUAGCACUAAGACCGUUCACUAUGUAUGCCAAAACCGGUGUAAAGACAACUGUUGCUACAUCUCGCACCGGUGCCCUGCACUGGCGAGCCGAUGCAGUAGAAAAAAAAUCAGGGACCCGAACUCCGGAGCAUCUAGUUGCUCCAACGCCCAGUUCCUUUGUGCCAUAAAGAUUUAGUAUUUUACUACUUGGCUUCUUGGAUGUGUGGACAAGUUGGCUCCACAAACUGCUAAGCGGUGCCAAAUAAUUUUCUAAUGGUACCGCUGAUGAGAUGGCAAUAUUUUUAGAUACUAGGUACAAACUGUGACACUGUCUUUGGAUGCGUUUGGUUGAAAACGUGGUAUGAAUGGGUUGAGACCGUGACAGUGUCUGGAUCACAUCUAACAAAUGAUUUGUAACAACGAAAGAUGGUCUAACCUUCUCUGCAUAUGCCAGAAAUUUCCUCCCACUGUCCAAAUAUUCAAAUGCAACUAGCUUCAUGUAUGGAGUUUGAUGGUGACAAUGAGCAGACAGAUCUUCAGCCACCCCGCUCCAUUCGUUGCAAGUGAUGGUCCUAGGGAACUACAAGAGGAAGAAAUGACUCAAAUCGCUGCCGGGUAAAAAUCCUUCAUUUCAAGUCAUAGCCCGAGAGAGAGAGAAGAGAAGCAAACCUGGGUGGUCAAGGAGUCGGAGGAGGAGGAACCACUGGAGAUGUCUUUGAAGAAGACCAUGCUGACCCCGGCGAUAGGAUGCGAGACGACAAGAGCGAGGAAGCAAGCGAGGAAGCGGCUAUAGCUUAGGAAGGAAGGGGAAACAGGGGAAAUGUGACUUGUUGUCGGGGAGAAAAGGAGAUGGAGAAGGGGGGGGUAGAUAUUUCGGCGGUAGGCCAAAAAUUUCAAAAUGUGGAGGGAAACUUUGCGCGCGGUGCCGCCGGAAACCAUUCACUUUGAACGAUAGUGUGCAUCGCAAACGAUUCUUCUGCUUUACGCGCAUGGUAUGAGUUUGAUAAUUCAAAUUUUGGUGGAAACUUCCCCAGGUACGUCAUUGCAUAAUUUAACAUCGCUUGCUAAUUUGAGCACACAAAAGAAAGUACAACACAUGAACCAGACUUACUGAAUCGAGCAAUUUUACUAAUUAAACAGAGCCAGUUGACCUAAACAUUGCUCUAACAAAAGACUAGCAUUAAAAACAAAGCCUAAGUACGCGUAAUUUUAACAAAUCUGCCGCCGCACCGGCCUAUGCAUCGCCGGUGUGAGAUGAGACGUCGAUGACUUGUCCUGGCGACAUGCCGCCGUUGGUGGACUCCGCGUCCCCCUGCUGAAGUCGACCGCGUCCUCGUCCUCGGCGCCGCCCUCAAGGUUGUAGUACUCGUAGUAGUGGCUGCGCCAGAGCUCGCGUUGGUACUCCACCGUCAAUUCCUCGAUGGACAUACUCUUCUCUACCUCGACCUGAGCCACGCGCAACUCCUCCUCUCGGUGAUCCUCGAUCUCCGCCGCCUCCUGCAUCUUCAGCUCCCGCUCGGCGACCUCAUGAGGAAGCAGGUGGUUCAUGGCCACCACCACCUUUUCGGACGUGGGUUGCAUGCUGGAUUCCGAGGUGGCCUGGAAUAUCUUGGCAUGGAUGGCCUCGACCCGGGCUAGGCGACAUUGGCGGCACAGACGGCAGCUCGAGCACUCUCGGCGUUUGCAGCCACCGUCGCAGCAGCAUCUGCAGCCGUCUCGGCUGCUGCAGCUGCCCUGUCGGCUGCCACUGCCGCCCUCCGGCGGAAGUGGCCACGCUCAAUGCGGAUGCGGCGGCACUCUCGGCGUAGGUGGCCACGCUCUUGCCGCAGGCGGCAACGCUCGCGGGGGGGAGGGGGGACGCGGCCAUCGUACGGGCCUUCAUGAAGUGUUUCGACGGUGUCAUCUUUCAAGAAGGGGGUGCAGGAAUGAGGAUCUGGAUUUGUGGAUUCGGGGGUUGUCGGCACUGGAGUAGAUGAGCCGGUGAAGUUUAAGGAGGAAGACUUAAAUAGACCCAGAAAUUUUCCUCGCAAAUGAUUCCUAUAAAACAACUGUGUGUGAUGUUGUAGAUAUUUUUUAUUAGCUGUGAAAGACGAAUUUGGAGUAAAGUGGCAACAGAUGGUGUUUUAAAUGUACGAGAAAAUUUGUAGUACUAAUACAACUGUAAUGUCAAAUUUGAAAACUUUCAGGGGUCAUUUGACCUUUUAAGACAUUUAAGUGAUUUUCUAGCCAUUUAAUGAUCGUAAUUGAAAUUCGAACGAUAUGUAUAGGCAACAGCUAACCAUAACGGUUUUAAAGUCAUAUUUUGUGUAUUUGUGUGCGAUUUAAUUCCAUGUGCAGUAAAUUGGAAGGAAUUUUCAAACAUAUUGGUCUAACGGCUAUGACACAAUUAAGCAUGGAGUGCCAUGGCAUUUAAAUUCUAAAAAAUUAAAAAAAAUAUCAAAAACACAUGAAACCUUGAUUGAUGUAAUAUCAGGCCACCAAGAUGAUGUGGUAAUUUUUUUGGCAUGUUUGACGAAAGUUUGGACACACACCCCUCACAAAUCGGAGCAACUCACCAGAAGGCUCAUGGUUUCGAGAGGGAACAAUGCAUGUUUGAUGAUGAAUGGAAAAUACCUUUCUCUUACGGCCUUCAAAUUUUUUCUAUGUGUAACAUACACUAAUUUAACUGUCAUGUGAAAAUUUGGAAAACUUCAAGGGUCAUUUGACCUUUUGAAGAUAUUUAAGUGAUUAUAGCCAUUUAAUGACCGUAAUUCAAAUUUGAACUACAUCUACAUGCAACGGUUAACCAUGAUGGUUUGAAAAAUCUUAUUUGUGUACUUGCGUGUGAGUUAAUUCAAUGUGCAGUAAAUUAGAAGGAAUUUUCAAACAUAUUGGUCUUACGGCAUGGACACAUGCAUGGAGUGCCAUGGCAUUUUAAUUCCAAAAGAUUAAAAAAUGAUCAGAAAAACAUGAAACCUUGCUUGAUGUAAUGUCAUGCCACCAAUAUGAUGUGGUAAAGAAAUUGGCAUGUUUGACAAAAGUAUGGACACACACCCGUCAUAAACCAGAGCAACUCACUAGAAGGCUCAUGGUUCCGAGAGGGAACAAUGCAUGUUUGAUGACGAAUGGGAGAUGGCUUCCUCUUACGGCGUUCAAUUUUUUACGUGUAAUGUGCACUAAUACAACUGUCAUGUGAAAAUUUAGAAAAUUUCAGGGGUCAUUUGACCUUUUGAAGAUAUUUAAGUGAUUUUCUAGCCAUUUAAUGACAAUAAUUUAAUUUUGAACUACAUCUACAUGCAACAGCUAACCAUAACGGUUUGAAAAUCUUAUUUGUGUACUUGUGUGUGAGUUAAUUCCAUGUGCAGUAAAUUAGAAGGAAUUUUCAAACAUAUUGGUCUCACGGCAUGGACACAUGCAUAGAGUGCCAUGGCAUUUUAAUUACAAAAAAUUAAAAAAUCAUCAGAAAAACAUGAAACCUUGCUUGAUCUAAUGUCAUGCCACCAAGAUGGUGAGGUAAAAAAAUUGGCCUGUUUGACGGAAGUUUGGACACACACCCCUCACAAACCAGAGCAACUCACUAGAAGGCUCGUGGUUCCGAGAGAGAACAAUGCAUGUUUGAUGACGAACGGGAGAUACCUUCCUUUUACGGCCUUUAACUUGUUUCUACGUGUAACAUGCACUAAUACAACUGUCAUGUGAAAAUUUGGAAAAUUUCAGGGGUCAUUUGACGUUUUGAAGACAUUUAAGUGAUUUUCUAGCCAUUUAAUGACCGUAAUUCAAAUUUGAACUACAUCUACAUGUGACGGCUAACCAUAACGGGUUGAAUAAUCUUAUCUAUGUACUUGUGUGCGAGUUAAUUCCAUGUGCAGUAAAUUAGAAAGAAUUUUCAAACAUAUUGGUCUCACAUCAUGGACACAUGCAUGAAGUGCCAUGGCAUUUUAAUUCUAAAAAAUUAAAAAAUGAUCAGAAAAACAUGAAACCUUGCUUGAUGUAAUGUCAUGCCACCAAGAUGAUGUGGUAAAAAAUUGGCCUAGUUGAUGAAAGUUUGGACACACACCCCUCACAAACCAGAGCAACUCACUAGAAGGCUCGUGGUUCCGAGAGGGAACAAUGAAUGUUUGAUGACGAACGGGAGAUAGCUUCCCUUUAUGACCUUCAAUUUGUUUCUACAUGUAACGUGCACUAAUACAACUAUCAUGUGAAAAUUUGGAAAAUUUCAGGGGUCAUUUGACCUUUUGAAGACAUUUAAAUGAUUUUCUAGCCAUUUAAUGACUGUAAUUAAAAUUUGAACUAGAUCUACAUGCUACGGCUAACCAUAAUGGUUUCAAAAACCUUAUUUGUGUAAUUGUGUGCGAGUUAAAAAAUCAUCAGAUGAUGUUAAUAUCUGGUUGUCAAAAAAGAAAAUGUAAAAUCUGGCAAGAGGACCGGCCCCCACACGAUUGGCACUCUAUUUCGCGCAUCGAGGUUUGGAAGGUGAGUGCCGGGCGUUAUUAAUCAGACGCGGUUCUGUAUUGGGAACCAUCGGCUAUUAUGUUCACACACGGAUUUUGCCACGGGAAUCGUGUGUAAUUCAAACUACAGUACUCAUAAAUUUCGGUGACCGACGUGUGUACUAUUCCCGUUGGUCUAGAUUCCGGCCUCCAAUAAAUACUACCUUGCUCACGUCGCCCCACCUGCAUUAUCAUCUACAUACUCUCCUUGCUCUCUCUCUCUCUCUCUCUCUCUCUCUCUCUUUCAAAUCUCUGCCAUGGCGCCACUGGUUUGGCCACACACAAACGAGGAGUCGCCGCCCCCUGAGGAUGCUCACUCGAAGAGCAGCGACAAGGACCCCUACGCGUCGUCGGACGAGGUUGCGCCGGUACCCCCAACUUUGGAUUGGUUUUGGGGCCAGUACGAUCUUUGUCUUUGGAAGUCACUGCCGCCUGCUGAGAAAGCCAGGCAAGUGGCUUUCAAGAACGAGAUCGCAGAGGAGGAUGCCAGGUACUAGGCGGCUUGUGAAGCCCGUGAUGCCGCCUGCAAAAAGGAGGCGGUGGAGCUUUGGAGGCGGGCGCGUCGUCAUGCAGAGGAGGUGUACGAAGAUGGGUACUUCACGAGGAAGGCCAAAGGUGCUAGGCGCCUCAUCUCUGCAUGGAGGUGGUCCACUGAUGAGAAGUUUCGGUGGGCGCCCAAUGAAAUUGCAAGAUUAUUCGCGCUGGUCCACCUGCAAGAGGCAGAUCAGUACGUCAAGCGCUGCGUGGCGGAGGAGGCGGAGUACUGCCUCCGCGCUAGGAAGCCGCCGCGCACUAGGGAGCUGCUGGCAAGGGGCUGCCAGAAUACUGGCCCCAGGAGGGAUUAUUAGUUUUAGUAUUGUUCGUUUUCAAUUUUAUGCAUUGUACCUAGGAGUUAAGUAUCAUCACGUAUAUGUGAUCAUAUUAUAUAUAUUCUAUGAUGAACUAAUGAACAAUUUAUCUGUUUUUAUAUACUAAUUUGAAUCUAACUGUUAUCAUCCACAUAUACUGAAUGGGAAGUGUGUAAACACACAUUGAAACAGAACAUAUAAGAACGGAAAACAAAGUACACACAUUGAUACAAAGCAAUAAACAAAGCAAUACUACGAUUGUUGUGAAUACAUAGCUAUCCACGUCGAAACGACUCAACAAAAUAAAACGCGUCCAUGAGACCAUGACCAGCAGCCCUUGCCUACGGUAGCUCUUGGCUCUGCCUGAACUCAGCAGGCGUUCGUCCAAGCGGUUGACACGCUCGCGGUACAUCUGGAGCGUGAUCUCGAGCUCCAAGUUAGCUAUUUCAUCGAAGAGCACCACCUCGAGGAUGCGACGACCAUGUUCCUCUACUGCGCCCAGGUGGACACCUGGGCUAAAGAGGCGGUCUAGCCCACUGACCAGCGCAUUGGCAUCGAGCGGGCCGCAGACAAGGUGAACGACGCGACCCAUGCGAAUGGCGCUGCGAGCGUCCGGUGCAAGAACGGCGCAGCCGGCCUCUGUUGCAAGUAUGGUGCAGAGGGCAUGUGCCCACUCUUGGCGAGGAAUGGGGGUACUGACGGGACAUGUACCAGCUGCGACGCCCUGUCGACAGUAGACAAGCGCAGAUGGAUCCGCUCUUGCUGUGCGGCAUGCCGCACCUCUCGUUCUACGGCGCUCCAACGGUCUCGCCGUGCGGUGAGCCGCAGCCUAUCAGCGCGGACGCACCUAGCUUGCUCUGCGGCGCGCCAUCGAUCAUGUUGUGCGGCGAGCUGCAGCCUCUUGGCGCUGACAUGCCUAUCUUGAUCAGCGGCGCUAAAGCGCCAUGCGCCAAGGGUCUGCUCAACCCUGGCGAUGACAUGCAUCACGAUGUCGUACAUCGCAUUGUCGGGGAGCGCCGCGGCCUCGACAGGCUGUGGCACCUUCUGGUUUUCCUCAUCGACGAGGUUGAUGGCAGAUACGGCGCUUUGGUCGGUUGGCAUGCUUGGAAAAGGUGGAUGUGCUACAGGCUGUGCUUGUUGCCUUCGUGCGUCGUGCCGUGCCUAGGUUUAUGCGCAAUAUCGCUGGGUGGCGGGAAACUGAUACGUCUCCAAUGUAUCUAUAAUUUUUGAUUGUUCCAUGCUGUUAUAUUAUCAUUCUUGGAUGUUUUACAAUCAUUUUACAGUCAUUUUAUAUCAUUUUUUGGUACUAACCUAUUGACAUAGUGCCCAAUGCCAGUUGUUGUUUUCUCCAUGUUUUUUACAUCGUAGGAAAUCAAUAUCAAACAGAGUCCAAACGCAACGUAACUCCUGGAGGAUUUUUUUGGGCCAGUAGAAAGCCAAUGGGCCAAGGAAGCAACUGAGGGGAUGCUCGAGGUGAGUAGCACCCACCAGGGCGCGCCAGGUGGCCCAGGCGCGCCCUGGUGGGUUGUGCCCACCUUGGGUGCCCCACGAACCGUCUCUUUGCUCUAUAAAUACCCAAAUAUUCCAGAAACCCUAGGGAAGGGACAAAAUAUUGAUCUAGCCGCCUCAGAGUCCAGAACCACCAAGAUCCAAUGUAGACACCAUGAUGGAGGGGUUCACCACUUCCAUUGGUGCCUCUCCUAUGAUGCGUGAGUAGUUCUUUAUAGACCUACGGGUCCGUGGUUAGUAGCUAGAUGACUUCCUCUCUUUCUCUCUCUCUCUCUCUUGAUUAUCAAUACAAUGGUCUCUUGGAGAUCCAUAUGAUGUAAGUCUUUUGGCGGUGUGUUUGUUGGGAUCCGAUGAACUUUGAGUUUAUGAUCAGAUCUAUGUUUUUAUCCAUGAAAGUUACUUGAGUCUUCUUUGAUCUCUUAUAUGCAUGAUUGCUUAUAGCCUCGUAUUUCUUCUCUGAUAUUUGGGUUUUGUUUGGCCAACUUGAUCUAUUUAUCUUGCAAUGGGAAGAGGUGCUUUGUAGUGGGUUCGAUCUUACGGUGCUUGAUCCUAGUGACAGAAAGGGAACCGACACGUAUGUAUCGUUGCUACUAAGGAUAACAAGAUGAGAUCUAUAUCUGCCGCAAUAGAUAAAUGAAUCUCGUCUACAUCAUGUCAUUGUUGUUAUUGCAUUACUCCGUUUUCUCAUGAACUUAAUACACUAGAUGCAUGCUGGAUAGCGGUCGAUGUGUGGAGUAAUAGAAGUAGAUGGAGGCAGGAGUCGGUCUACUAAUCUUGGACGUGUUGCCUAUAUAAUGAUCAUUGCCUGGAUAUCGUCAUGAUUAUUUGAAGUUCUAUCAAUUGCCCAGUAGUAAUUGUUUUCCCAUUGUUUGCUAUUUUUCUCGAGAGAAGCCACUAGUGAAACAUAUGCCCCCCGGGUCUCUUUUCAUCAUAUUUGCCUUUGCGAUCUAUUUUCCCUUGCAUUUAUUUUCAGAUCUAUUAAACCAAAAAUACAAAAAUAUCUUGCUGCAAUUUAUUUGUUUCGCGAUCUAUUUAUCCUAUCUACCACUUUUUACCUCACCUUUUUACCUAUCUUGAGGCGCCGUAAUCGGAAGGGAUUGACAACCCCUUUAACACGUCGGGUUGCGAGUAUUUGUUAUUUGUGUGCAGGUGUUGUUUACGUGGUGUGAGGAGGUUCUCCUACUGUUUCGAUAACCUUGGUCUCAUCACUGAGGGAAAUACCUACCGUCGCUAUACUGCAUCAUCCAUUCCUCUUCGGGGAAAUACCGACGUAGUUCUAGCAGACAUCAAAAGGAAUUUCUGGCGCCGUUGCCGGGGAGGAUCUUCAACAUCAACCAGGUUCCUAAUCACAAAUCUCAUAUCCUCGCAAUUUACAUUAUUUGCCAUUUGCCUCUCGUUUCCCUCUCCCCCACUUCACAAAAAUUUGCCGUUUUAUUCGCCCUCUUUUUCGUUUGCCGUUUUUUCGUUAGACCCGUUUUUGAGUGCAAUCUUGUUGCGUAGUCAUCAUGACUCAAGAGAACACCAAGUUGUGUGAUUUCUCAAAUACCAACAACAAUGAUUUUAUUAGCACUCCUAUUUCUCCUCCCGCCACUAGUGCGGUGUCUUGUGAUAUUAAUACUGCUUUGUUGAAUCUUGUCAUGAAAGAUCAAUUUGCCGAUACUCCUAAUGAGGAUGUCGUGUCUCAUCUUAACACAUUCGUGGAAUUAUGCGAUAUGCAAAAGAAAAAAGAUGUGGACAAUGUUGUGAAGUUGAAAUUAUUUCCGUUUUCUUUGCGAGAUCGUGCAAAAAUUUGGUUUUCUUCUUUGCCUCGCAAUAGUAUUGAUUCUUGGAACAAGUGCAAAGAUGCUUUUAUCACCAAAAAUUUUCCGCCUGCAAAAAUUAUUUCCCUUCGAAACCAAAUCAUGAAUUUCAAGCAACUUGAACAUGAGCAUGUUGCACAAUCUUGGGAAAGGAUGAAAUUGAUGCUAAAGAAUUGCCCAACACAUGGGUUAAAUCUUUGGAUGAUCAUACAAUUUUUUUAUGCAGGAUUGAAUUUUGUUUCUCGUAACCUUUUAGAUUCCGCCGCGAGGGGUACAGUUAUGGAAAUUACUUCGGGUGAAGCUACUAAGUUGCUAGACAAUAUUAUGGCAAAUUACUCGCAAUGGCAUACCGAAAGAGCUCCUACUAGUAAAAAAGUCAAUUUGGUAUAAGAAAUAAAUUAUUUAAGUGAAAAAAGUUGAUGCUCUUAUGAAGUUGGUUGCUAAUAAAAGUGCUCCUAUUGGUUUUAAUGAUGUGUCUUUGUCUACUUUGAUUCAGCAAAACAGUGAUGCCAUAGAUGUGAAUUUUGUCUCACGAAAUAAUUUCAACAACAAUGCUUAUAGAGGUAAUUUUAGUCCUAGGCCUUUUCCUAGUAAUUCCUGUAAUAAUUAUGGUAAUUCCUAUGGUAAUCCCACCUACAAUAAUAAUAGAAACACCUCUGAUCUUGAGAACAAUAUUAAAGAAUUUAUCAAUACGCAAAAGGCUUUCAACAGUUCGAUAGAAGAAAAGUUGAAUAAAUUGAUGGUAUGUCUAGAAGUGUUGAUAGAAUUUCUCAUGAUGAAGAAACUCUCAAGAUGAAAAUUUUUGUGCCUAAAGUUGAAGAAUCAAUUAAAGAUAUUUACAUUUCUAUGGAUGAAAGUAAGAAAAGAACCACUAUGCUUAGAGCUAAAAGAGAAUUUUUAGAAAAAACGUUUUCUAGUGAUUACUGCCAUAGAAGUUAUGAAGAUCUUAAAGUGAUUGGUGUUUCUUCUAUUGACUAUUUGUUUAGUAAAUUUAAGAUUGAUGAAAAAGUGACUGGAGAAGAGUCAACUUUAAUUAGAAGGCAUCCCUAUGAUUCGGAGGGUGAAAAUCUCGUUGAAAAAAUUGAUAAAAGUGGGUUUGAAGAGGUCAAGACUUUAACUAGUGAUGUGCCCACUAUUUUGGAUUACGAAGACUUUAAUUAUGAUAGUUGCUCUUUGAUUGAUUGUAUUUCUUUGUUGCAAUCCAUUAUAAAUUCACCCCAUGCUUAUGAACAAAAUAAAGCUUUUACUAAACAUAUUGUUGAUGCCAUGAUGAAAGCUUUUGAAGAAAAAUUGGAAUUAGAAGUUUCAAUUCCUAGAAAAUUGCAGGAUGAAUGGGAACCUAAUAUCAGAUUCAAGAUUAAAAAUUAUGUGUGUUUUUGCUUUAUGUGACUUGGGUGCUAGUGUUUCUACAAUUCCAAAAUCUUUAUGUGAUGUGCUUGGUUUUACCGAUAUUGAAGAAUGCUCUUUAAAUUUGCACUUGGUGGAUUCUACUAUUAAAAAGACUAUGGAAAGAAUUAAUGAUGUUCUUAUUCUUGCAAAUAGGAAUUAUGUGCUCAUAGAUUUUAUUGUUCUUGAUAUUGAUUGCAAUCCGUCUUGUCCAAUUAUUCUUAGUUGACCGUUUUUGCGUACUAUUGGUGCCAUGAUUGAUAUGAAAGAAGGCAAUAUUAAAUUUCAAUUUCCACUAAGGAAGGGAAUGGACCACUUCCCUAGAACAAGAAUUAGGCCACCAUAUGAAUCAAUCAUGAGGGCAUCUUAUGGAUCUCGAACCAAAGAUGACAAGACUUAGAUCCUACGCGUUAUGCCUAGCUAGGGGCAUAAAAUGAUAGCGCUUGUUGGGAGGCAAACCAAUGAAUAAAAAAUAUUUUUGCCUUUUGCUUUAUGUUAUUGAGUGUUAGCACAAUUAUUCUACUGCUAUGAUUGUGUCUUUUGUGUUUUAGUUAGUGUUUGUGCCAAGCAAUGCCUUUGGGAAGACUUGGGUGAAAGUUUAUUUGAUCUUGCUGAAAAACAGAAACUUUUGCGCUCACGAGAUUCGUUGUCAUUUUUUGCAGAAGAGUUCUUUUAAGUUGAUUAUUUUUGCAGAGGAUUAAUAGACAAAUUCUUCACGUCCACCAAUUGAUUUCAUAAUUUUUAGAGUUACAUAAGUAUUCGAAAUUUUCGGAUUGCUACAGACUGUUCUGUUUUUGACGAAUUUUGUUUUCUUUGCUUUGUGUGCUUGUUUUGAUGAUUCUACUAGAUCAUUGAUGGAGCGCGUUGCUGCGCUCGUCUAAUUUUUCUCUACAAUUUUUAGGGAUAGGAAGUAAUCUAUAUAUCAUAGUUUGCAAUGCUUUAGAGUGGUGGUGUGCUUUCUUGCAUCUCGUGCUUUUCUCCUUCAUUUUACAAAUCAUGGUAUCUAAUUGAAGAGAGGAGUCCUAUUGGAUUGCAAGAAAGCUAUGUGUUGAUCUAUUUUCUUAGGUCUGAUGGACUUGUAGCUGGUUCAUGUUUGGGUCCCAAGUGUAUUCGUCUCUAGGAUGGUUGAUAGAUAGUUGGAUACAUGUUGUGAUUUAUCGUGACCACUUUUGGCUCCUAUAAAAAGUUCUCUCGCAAAAGGACCCCGCCACAAAAUCUUAAAAUAGAAAUAUUGAGGAAAAAACAAUAUAUUUGAGUAAAUAAAAUAGGCACUACAAAUACUCUGGAAAAUUUGUACAACAGAUUCUCACCCGCAAGAGAAUUCUACAUUUAGACUAUCACAAUAAUCAUACAAGCGCCAACAACGAGGUAAGCACAAAAUGUCAAAUUUAAUCAUAUUUGGUGUGAGAUUACUUCACAUUGAGAAAUUUAAAUGCCGAUUAUAUAGUACCUAUAGUAUUGGUUUCAUGCAAUAAUACAAUAUUCAAACCUGAAAUUUGAUGUGUGCCAGAAAAAAAAAUUGUUUGCUAAGCAUUUUACCAUGUGUUUUAAGAUUUAUGAUUCAAGUGUAAUUGGCUAAUUACCGCACUGGCUACAGGGGCUAAGUGGCAGAGAGAUUGCACUGCUCCACAUUGUUGGCUUCUUCUACCGAGGUUGAUCAGUUCCAGGAGAUAUGAUCAAAUAUGUACAUAUAUUGCAUGGAUCCAUGGAAUCCCAAUCAUCGGCAUUAACCAUCAAGUUGUUGAACCUGAGAACAGAAAAGCAAACCAUUUUAGCUCUAGUCAAACCAUUGAUGAAAAUCUGCAAUGUAAUAUCUGAUGGUCUAAUUAAUUAUGAAGAAGCUAAGAAAUGAUCAGGUUACACUGACCAAAAUGUUCAAGCCUGGAGAGCUAGAGAGUACAAUCAUCAGCAUGCUAAUUUCACUAAUUAGAUAAUAAGCUUCGGAUAACAGUAUAUGUUCACAAAGCUAAGAAAUUAUCAGGAUACACUGAUCAAAAUGUUCAGGUGUGGUGAAUUGGCGAGUAUGUACUUAUAAAUUACUAAUAUGAGCAAUGCUUCUAGUAAUAUAAUUGUGAAGUGCACAUGCUACUAAAAUGUAAGUACACUGGGGAGAUCAUAAGUUUCAGACAAGAGUCAUUUUGUCUCAAAAAGUAUCUACUCGGUCGAUCAAGAAUCUAAGAAAUAAUAUAAAAUGGCGUACUCACAAUAACAUUGAGUACAAAGAAGACAAGAUAAGCUUCAGAUAACUGCAUUCUGAAGUGGUGAUGCAAUUGCUGAUCAAGAAAUGAAACAAAAAUGAACAACAAAAAGCGUAAGGCAUUACCUACUUGCUCACCUCCCAACUGACGAAUGAUUUGCCGGCGAUGGGAUGAAUGUGCAGGGCGACCUGCAUGGCGAAGUCGAGCUGGAUGCCUCACUUGUGGACUUCCUGGCCUCCUGUGGUAAUCCAAUCGUCACAUCAGAUUCAGAGGCAACAGACAAAGGAAAAGAAUUGCAAGAUGCAGAAGAACAUGAAUGGUAAAUCACCGUACCUGCAUGGCCGCUUGCCCUUUUCUACACUCCGUGGCCCUUAUUGACUGAGGCCUCCACGACCUCGAUGGGACGCGGGCGGGCCACGUUGUCACUGAGAUCCUUGCUCUCAUCGUCGACAAUGACAUCCUCUUCCUCGGAGAUGCGAAGGCUCUCGCUGACGUCGUCGCUCAGGGAGUUGUGGCGACCCACUGGUUUGGAUCUGCAUCGGUGGGGGCAAAUCGUCCGCCAUGUUCUUUUUCUUGCGGUCAGCCCUCGUCGUGUGUGUCCGACGUGUACCCGCCGUCGGGGGAUAGGGCCGCCGCCGCGCCGUGCGCCUUUGCCAUCCCCUCGGUAGACUGGGUGGGUGCCUCCUCCGUUAGGAUUAACGAGAGCCACCAUGGAGAUGGGUCCAAGGGGUAUGUGGGCUUCACCUGAUGGCCGGCCCAAUUAACGGGAAUGCAGUGAUUUUUCCACCGGAGUAGCAGCCUUUAGGACAGUUGGCCCACUUAAACGUUAAACAUGGAAUAACAGUAGAAUCCAACGACCAAAACCAACUCUGGAGUGAGAUCGAACGGCCAGAAAAGCAGAGGGUGUGAGAGGGCUGGGAUUAGGCUCGGUUAUACUGUCCUAAAUGGUUUUCUUUAAUGAGUUUUUACCAUACAAAAUUUGGAAUAUAGUAGAGAUAAUGCAAAACAAAAUAAUAAUAGGUUUUCUACAGUACUUAUAGUAGUGGUUUGGUUUCUUAUACUAACGGAUCUCAUGAAGGUUUUGUUUGAGUUUUGUGUGAUUGAAGUUUUCAAGUUUUGGGUUAUCUUACGAUGGAUGAAGGAAUAAGGAUAAGCAAAAGGCUAAGCUUGGGGAUGCCCGAGUCACCCCAAGAUAAUAUUCAAAGAAGUAGCAAGCAACUAAGCUUGGGGAUGCCCCCGAGUGGCAUCCCCGAUUUCUUCUAACGACCAUCGGUAUUUUACUUGAAACUAUAUUUUUUUCGUCACAUGAUAUGAGUUUUGCUUGGAGCGUCUUGUAUGAUAUGAGUCUUUGCUUGUUUUGCUUUGUGUUUUAAGUGUUGAAUCCUUGCUGGACACACCCUUUUUUAGAGAGCCAAAAAUUAUGAUAUGCUUGGUCCUAUGCUUCACUUAAAUUUUUAGAGCCAUGGACUUGCUCUAGUACUUUAGUUAUAUCUUUUUGAGCACGGUGUGCUUUGUUGAUUUUGAAGAAAUGCUAUCAUGCUUCACUUAGAUCUAUUUGGGAGUUACUAAAUUUUUAAGGAAUUCUCUCUUGCUUCACUUAGAUUAUUUUGAGAGAAAGAAAAAUUUUAUGCUCAUGAUCUUCACUUAUAUUUGUUUGAGCCUGUCAAAAGCAACAUAUGAAAAUAGUCCCAAAGAUAUAGAUAUCCAAGGAGGAUAUAAUAAAACUUUCAUGAAGAUCAUUGGACAAAAUAAACUUGAUUCUUAAUAAUGGUUUUGAGAUAUGACGAUAUGAUAUGUGAGUCAUGUUGAUGAGUAAUUGUGCUUUAGUAAAAAUAAUGAUGUUAAGGUUUGUGAUUCCCUAUGCAAGCACAAGAGUCAAUAGUUAUGCAAUGAAAUUUAUAUCCUACUUAUGGUGCAUUAUUCGCUGUUACUUAUGCUUAAUGCUUGGGUAUGAGAUUUUUCUCUUUUUGGUUGGUCGCUUCUCAAUCUUUUUGCUAGCCAUCAUUUUGCACUAAGUAUGAUCACUACUUGUGCAUCCAAAACCCUUUGAACCAGUUUUGCAUUAUGAGUCCACUAUACCUACCAUUAUGCGGUAUUUCCAUGCCGUUCUAAGAAAAUUUCCAGUGCCAUCUCUCAUGUUCAAAAUAAAUUUCUCUUUUGUGUGCUCUACUACUCGCGAGGCGGUAAAGGGUAGCCAAUAUUUUCCAUGCUAGAUGUGUUAUUCUCACGAUGAGUGUCUAUUCCCUUCUCAUUGCACGAGAGUACGACAAAGGUACUAGGGAUGCCUAGUCCCUAUUUGAAUAAAUGAAUUUACUUUAUGUUGUCAAAUAAUAAAUUCCUUGGAAAGUGUUGGUAUGGAAGGCACCCGUGGAUACAGCUAGCCAUGGAAAGUGAAAGUUAUGGUGGAAAAAGGAAUAAACUUUAUUUUCUGUUUGGGAACCGCCUAUGAUGUAUCUAGCAUGGAAAGUGUUGGGAUUCUCCAAGUCGUUUUCGUUGGUAGGAAAAGUAUGCCUCUCAAAAAUAAUUUUAUCUCUCAAUUUAAGCUUUGAGCUCUGGCACCUCUACAAAUCCCUACUUCCCUCCGCGAAGGGCCUUUCUUUUAUUUAUGCAAUUUUUAUUUUUGAAUUUGAGUCUCCAUCUUCUCUUAUAAAGCACCAACUAAGGGGCACUAUGAUCAUAUUUGAGCAUUGGGUGUAGUUAAUAUUCGAGUGUGUUUCAUGAAUGGAUCAAUGAUUGAUCAUGAUGGGAUAGGGAUAACUUGCUUUAGUGUUGAUAUUUUGAAAGACAUGGUUGCUUGUUUGUAUGCUUGAGUAUUAAAGUCUUCAUGUCAAAACUAGACUAUUGCUUUGAAUCAUAUAAAAGUCCAUAUGUCCAUGCUAUAAAGAAAAGAAUGUGAUGAACAUGUUAGGCGGCAUUCCACAUCAAAAGUUCUGUUUUUAUCAUUUACCUACUCGAGGACGAGCAGGAAUUAAGCUUGGGGAUGCUGAUACGUCUCCAACAUAUCUAUAAUUUUUUAUUGUUCCAUGCUAUUAUUUUAUCAUUAUUGGAUGUUUUACAAUUAUUUUACAGUCAUUUUAUAUCUUUUUGGUAAUAACCUAUUGAAAUAGUGCCGAGUGCCAGUUGCUGUUUUCUGCAUGUUUUUUACAUCGCAGGAAAUCAAUAUCAAAUGGAGUCCAAAUGCAACGUAACUCCUAGAGGAUUUUUUUGGACCAGUAGAAAGACAAUGGGCUAAGGAAGCACCUGAGGGGCUGCCCGAGGUGAGCAACACCCACCGGGGCGUGCCAGGAGGCCCAGGCGCGCCCUGGUGGGUUGUGUCCACCUCGUGUGCCCCCCGAACCGCCUCUUUGAUCUAUAAAUACCCAAAUAUUCCAGAAACCCUAGGGAGGCGACGAAAUAUUGAUCCAGCCGCCGCAGAGUCCAGAACCACCAAGAUCCAACCUAGAUACCAUCAUGGAGGGGUUCACCACUUUCAUUUGUGCCUCUCUUAUGAUGCGUGAGUAGUUCUUUGUAGACCUACGGGUCUGUAGUUAGUAGCUAGAUGGCUUCAUCUCUUUGUCUCUUGAUUAUCAAUACAAUGGUCUCUUGGAGAUCCAUAUGAUGUAAGUCUUUUGGCGGUGUGUUUGUUGGGAUCCGAUGAACUUUGAGUUUAUGACCAGAUCUAUGUUUUUAUCCAUGAAAGUUAUUUGAGUCUUCUUUGAUCUCUUAUAUGCAUGAUUGCUUAUAGCCUCGUAUUUCUUCUCCAAUAUUUGGGUUUUGUUUGGACAACUUGAUCUAUUUAUCUUGCAAUGGGAAGAGGUGCUUUGUAGUGCGUUCGAUCUUACGGUGCUUGAUCCCAGUGACAGAAAGGGAUCCGACACGUAUGUAUUGUUGCUACUAAGGAUAACAAGAUGAGAUCUAUAUCCGCCGCAAUAGAUAAAUGAUCUCGUCUACAUCAUGUCAUUGUUCUUAUUGCAUUAUUCCGUUUUCUCAUGAACUUAAUACACUAGAUGCAUGCUGGAUAGCGGUCGAUGUGUGGAGUAAUUGAAGUAGAUGUAGGCAGGAGUCGGUCUACUAAUCUUGGACGUGAUGCCUAUAUAAUGAUCAUUGCCUGGAUAUCGUCAUGAUUAUUUGAAGUUCUAUCAAUUUCCCAACAGUAAUUGUUUUCCCACCGUUUGCUAUUUUUCUCGAGAGAAGCCACUAGUGAAACCAACAGCCCCCGGGUCUCUUUUCAUCAUAUUUGCCUUUGCGAUCUAUUUUCCCUUGCAUUUAUUUUCAGAUCUAUUAAACCAAAAAUACAGAAAUACCUUGCUGCAAUUUAUUUGUUCCGCUAUCUGUUUAUCCUAUCUACCACUUUUUACCUCACAGUUUUGCCUAUCUUGAGGCGUCGUACCCGGAAGGGAUUGACAACCCCUUUAACACGUCGGGUUGCGAGUAUUUGUUAUUUGUGUGCAAGUGUUGUUUACGUGGUGUGAGGAGGUUCUCCUACUGGUUCGAUAACCUUGGUCUCAUCACUGAGGGAAAUACCUACCGUCGCUAUACUGCAUCAUCUAUUCCUCUUUGGGGAAAUACCGACGUAGUUCUAGCAGACAUCAGAAACAUGUGAGGAAAUGGCGAGAAACGGUGGCGUGUUCAUAAAACGCCAUCAAUUAAUGGAAAGUUAGCAUAUAAGGAACAUCGAGCUAGCACAAGAAAUAGAUGAUGAUGAGAUGAACACGAACCACACUAGGGAACCCUUGGUUAUGAACUCAUUAAUCGCAAACGCUUGUACACUAGCAAGCGUUUUUGAAAGUGCGUUAUGUCGACUAGAGGGGGGUGAAUAGGCGAUUUUUAUGAAUUCUUCACUGAGGAAUUUGCCGGUGAGGAAAUUCCUUAGCGAAGAACUAUUAGCAGCGGAAUAAGUACUCAGAAGUAAGCAUGACAGAAUACAAGCAUGGUCAUCAUGAUGAAAUGAAGACUAGCGCAGAGUACAGAAAGCGUAAUCACAGGAUAACACAAGAUGAAGACAUACAGACUAAAGAAAUUGAACUGAGGAAAUUGAGAAAGUCUUCAGUCAAAGUCUUCAAACACAGAUAUGAACAAACACUCAACACAGUAAUGAGGAAAUGAAAGGGUUGAGGAAAUAGAACCAGUUAGGUUGGUGAAGACAAUGAUUUGGUAGACCAGUUCCAACUGCUGUCUCAGUUGUACGUAUGGUUGGAGCGGCUGAGUAUUUAAACUCGAGGACACACAGUCCCGGACACCCAGUCGUUGAGCACGCAGCUCAGGACACCCAGUCCUCACCGUAUUCUGCUUGAACUAAGAUCACACAGAUCCCGUCCAAUCACUCGUGGUAAGUCUUCAGGCGACUUCCAAACCUUCACAGACUUGGUCACUCGGCGAUCCACAAUUCCUCUUGGAUGCUCUAGACCUUGACGCCUAACCGUUUGGAAGAAGCACAUUCUUCAAAGGUAACAAGCGUCGGAUCCACGCAGGAUCAAUU